UUACCCGCUGAAAUAUAAGCAUAUUAGUAGGCGGCGGAAGAUAACCCAAAAGGGAUUCCUUCAGUAAUGGCGAAUGAACGGGGAAAAGCUCAGCAAAGAAAUCAGGGACCCCGGCCUUGAGUUGUGGACUUGAGAGGUAUUGCCAAUAGUGGCGCAGGUGCGGGCCUCUUGGAAAAGGGCACCACAGAGGGUGUGAGUCCUGUUUGUCAUCUGUAGUCCGCCAUGUACGGCAUGACUCCUCAGAGUCACGUUCCUUGGAAUUGGAGCGCGAAGGUGGUGGUGGCUUUCAUCUCAAGCUAAGUAUGGGUUUGAGACCGAUAGCAAACAAGUACCAUGAGGGAAGAUUGAAAAGAGCUUUGGAAAGAGAGUUAAAAGUGCCCGAACUUGCUGAUAGGGAAGCGAAGGGAGCUGACGUUGCUUGGUGACAUAUUCCGCGCAAGAGUAGGAUGGGUUCUGGUUGCAAUCUGCGUAGUGCUUCUUGCCGUGCGUGUCGAUGCCAAGCAAUGAGUGGGGAGAGCACCAGGGAUAAUGAUUGUUUCUGUCCCCGGGUGGCCGAAGGUGCCUGGUCGCAUCCAUUUGUGGGCUGAAACAAAUGGUGGCUGGUUGCAGCGCCCUGUGCCUGCUAGGCAGUUGGGGUGUAGCCCUGAUACGCAGACGAGGACACAGUGCUUCUGUUCGACCCGUCUUGAAACACGGACCAAGGAGUCUGACACUCAUGCAAGCUCGCGGGUGGGUAAACUUGUUGGCGUAAUUAAGGUGUCUGUUGUGAUUUUUGUGCACCAACGCCCGACCAAUCAAUCGAGAGAGGUUUGAGUGUGAGCAUUUCUGUCAGGACCCGAAAGAUGGUGAACUAUGCUUGAGAAGGGUAAGUUCAGGGGAAACUCUGAUUGAGGCUCGUAGCGAUACUGACGUGCAAAUCGUUCGUCAUACUUGGGUAUAGGGCCGAAAGACUUUC
rnacentral:rRNA from 1 species